UUUCCGUAGGUGAACCUGCGGAAGGAUCAUUCAUAGUAAAGUGUUUUAUGGCACUUUUUAAAAAUCCAUAUCCACCUUGUGUGCAAUGUUAGAUCUCGUCAAUCUUGGCGAGAUUUUUAUACAUCAACUCAUUUUUUAUCUAAUUUGUCUGAAAAAUAUUAUGAAUACUUAAUUCAAAAUACAACUUUCAACAACGGAUCUCUUGGCUCUC
rnacentral:misc_RNA from 1 species